rnacentral:rRNA from 1 species
GACGAACGUUGGCGGCGUGCCUAAUACAUGCAAGUCGAACGAGGCUGCCCAGUUGCUAGUCGGUGCUUGCACUGACGAACAAUUGGAUCCAGCCGAGUGGCGAACUGGUGAGUAACACGUGGGUAACCUGCCCAGCAGAAGGGGAUAACACCUGGAAACAGAUGCUAAUACCGUAUAAACCUGAAAACCGCCUGGUUUUCAGCUAAAAGAUGGUGUACGCUAUCGCUGCUGGAUGGACCCGCGGCGUAUUAGCUAGUUGGCGAGAUAAUAGCUCACCAAGGCGAUGAUACGUAGCAGACCUGAGAGGGUAAUCUGCCACAAUGGGACUGAGACACGGCCCAUACUCCUACGGGAGGCAGCAGUAGGGAAUCUUCCACAAUGGACGAAAGUCUGAUGGAGCAACGCCGCGUGAGUGAAGAAGGGUUUCGGCUCGUAAAACUCUGUUGUUAGAGAAGAACGAUCGUAAGAGUAACUGCUUACGGUGUGACGGUAUCUAACCAGAAAGUCACGGCUAACUACGUGCCAGCAGCCGCGGUAAUACGUAGGUGGCAAACGUUGUCCGGAUUUAUUGGGCGUAAAGCGAGCGCAGGCGGUUUUCUAAGUCUGAUGUGAAAGCCUUCGGCUUAACCGAAGAAGUGCAUCGGAAACUGGGGAACUUGAGGGCAGGAAAGGAUAGUGGAACUUCAUGUGUAGCGGUGAAAUGCGUAGAUAUAUGAAGGAACACCAGUGGCGAAGGCGGCUAUCUGGUCUGCAUCUGACGCUGAGGCUCGAAAGCAUGGGUAGCAAACAGGAUUAGAUACCCUGGUAGUCCAUGCCGUAAACGAUGAAUGCUAGGUGUUGGGAGGUUUCCGCCUCUCAGUGCCGGAGC